CACGUAGUUAGCCGUCCCUUUCUGGUAAGAUACCGUCACAGUGUGAACUUUCCACUCUCACACCCGUUCUUCUCUUACAACAGAGCUUUACGAUCCGAAAACCUUCUUCACUCACGCGGCGUUGCUCGGUCAGACUUCCGUCCAUUGCCGAAGAUUCCCUACUGCUGCCUCCCGUAGGAGUCUGGGCCGUGUCUCAGUCCCAGUGUGGCCGAUCACCCUCUCAGGUCGGCUAUGUAUCGUCGCCUUGGUGAGCCGUUACCCCACCAACUAGCUAAUACAACGCAGGUCCAUCUGGUAGUGAUGCAAUUGCACCUUUUAAGCAAAUGUCAUGCAACAUCUACUAUUAUGCGGUAUUAGCUAUCGUUUCCAAUAGUUAUCCCCCGCUACCAGGCAGGUUACCUACGCGUUACUCACCCGUUCGCAACUCAUCCGGAGAAGCAAGCUCCUCCUUCAGCGUUCUACUUGCAUGUAUUAGGCACGCCGCCAGCGUUCGU
rnacentral:rRNA from 1 species